CUCGGAGCAACACAAGGAAGAGGCAGCAGUGCAUGCCAGCCAGCCCAGGGAUUAAGGGAGGAAGUGCUCCUGAGUGGGGAAGAUGGCUGCUAGCCAGAGCAGGGGGCUGCGGGGCCCUCGCUCCUGCGGCGUCCCCGGGCUGCUGCGGGGGGGGCUGGCGCUGCGCCCCGCUCCUCCGUGCUGGCAUCCCGCUCGUCGGCACCCGGAGAGCUCCAGCCCGAGCAAAGCAGCACCUCCACCUGCGCCGGGAGCCGGCAGCCUCCGAGCCCGACCGCCCAUCCCCGAGAGCCGCUGGCUUCACUGGAGCGUUCGGGUUUAAACAUUGCCGGGGAGGGAGCAGCCCCGGCCAGCUGCGAUCCAGGACACGGGGCAGGAACUCAGCAAUCCGGCCACAGAAGGAGCGGCGAGGCAGCCGCGGAGCUCCUCGGCGUCACCUGAACACGGAAAGGCUUCGCUCCGUCCUCACAUGAGGCCAGGGGCCACCUCCCGGCCCCAGAAGCCACAGAAACCACAACCGAGCCCCUCUGCAGUCGAUCUCUCCGGGUGCCAGGGCCACCGCGCCGGCCCGGCGGUCACCAGCCAUCGCAGGUGCCGCCGCCGCCUCUCUCCCGGUGCCUUGGCGAGGCUUCCAGAGCCCGGCACAGCGCUGGGAUGCGGCGGCUCCGGGAGCCCCAGCAGCGUGCACACACAAAGGGAAGCACCGACCCUGGGACGGCGUUAUUCCAGCGCCUCCACUCCCGCCCCGGGAUCUCUGAACACAACCAAAUCCAGCUCCUUCUCCAUUUCUUUCUGGAAGCCGCAAGGCUCCCUCUCAGGUACUGGCUCUUCCCAGCCACAGCAACUGGGGGAAAGUACAAGCAAAAAGGAAUUUCUCCAUGUCCCCAAGGCCGUGUUCUUCAUUUUAUGCACACACAGGUCAGUCCACAAAGCCCUGGGGGGGCUGCACAACCCCAGGACUGGUGACUGUGGCUCUGAAGCCCAGCAGUGAGGUGCAGGCAUGGCUCUGGUCCUGUGACCUGGCCAGGGAUGCCAACAGUCACCCAGAGCCGUCCCUGGGGAGAUGCAGCAGAGCCCUGGCCCCACAGGGCACUCCUGGAGCUGGAGGGCACUGAGAGGCCCUUGGACCCCUGCAGUGCUUGUGGCCAAAUGAAAAGAGUGGUCUCUAAAAGAGCGGCUCAUGAUGCACGAGACACCUGCUCCCAGCUAUAAAAAUGGAUUAGUUGCAUUGCAUCUGGAGCCCAUCCAGGCAGCAGCGCCUUCCCCAGCAUCCCAUUUGGCACGCAGAGCCCGGUGCCUGAAAGCACAGCAAAGAG
rnacentral:lncRNA from 1 species